AAAGAAAAGAAAAAACCCAUUAAGCCCUUCUGCAAAAGAGCUGCAUGAGGUGUAGUCUUGGCGUGAUAAUAUUCAAUUUGCACCCACUUGCCCCUUCUAAACUUUCAAUAAACUAAGGGACCACUUUUUAAUUCUUUCUUCUUCAUUUUCUUCUUCUAUUUAUACCCUUUUUCUCUUCGACUUCUUCCUUCUUCAUCCCAAACCCUAGAUUUUAUUUUCAGCUAAUUUUCUCUUAACCUCCUUCAAUUUAUGGUCAAUCACUACCAGUUGAAGCUGCCAGCAUGAUCUUAACUUUUCUCUUCUACUUCUUCCUCUUCUUUCUUUGAGGAAAGAUCAGAUCAUGCGGCAGUUUCACCUGUUGUUGCUUUGCCCUUUUACUCACUAUAUCCCUAAUCCCUAUAAAUUAGCCCUAAUUUCAUCUAAUCCCUCUCCCGUAAAAAAAAAAAAAAAAAAAAAAAACCCUAAUGUUUCCCCUUCAUAUGGUUUCGUUAUUAAGAAAUUAGGGUUUGUGAUUCCUUCAAAGCUUUGAUCAUGGCAGCGGGUUUAUCUUUAAGCUCUUUUUUCCAGCUAGGUUUUGGACAUAAACUCAUCUCAUCCUACGCUUGGAAGCAUCGUGUGCAAAAGUUGUUUGUUUGAGGGUUGGAAAACUGACAGACUGUACCAAUUUCUACUGAUAUAUAUUCUUACUUCACAAGAGAGGGAGAACAUCGCUUAAUUUUUGGGUUCCUAUAAAUUUUGUGAACGGUAGGGGAAUUGAUUCAAUUAAUAAGAUUCAUCAAUGUACAUGCAAUUUUUUUAAAAUAAUAACAGCAUGUAUAUUUAGGAGAAAAAAGUUUAUGUUUGAUACACCAAUAUCCAUUGUGCCUCCCGCUAAGAAAAGAAAUAUAUCUCAUAAGGUUAUCACAUGUCAGUAAAUGAACAUAUCGUUUUGAUCAUUAAUAUACCUUAAGAUUAGUUUAUUUUA